UCUGCAAUUGACUACUUCUCUGACCUCAUCUGUAAAAGCAGGUAAGGACUGAGCCCUUCCACGGUGUGCCGCCAUACUUUACAAUAGCCUGUGCUGCUUGCUGCGAAGGAGAGAAGAGAUAAAGAUAAAUUGUUGGUUCAAGGCUGUGCUACUCUUGGAUUUACCAACAGAGAGGACACAUGGACGAUGAUCUUUAAUGAGAACAAUAGAACUGUUUCAGAGGCUGUGAAGGACACCACGAAACCCAGGACAGCAAGCGUGACAGAUCAGGGCUCAUGCUUGUACUCCACAAAGCUGUGGUUCCCCUCAUCUCCA
rnacentral:lncRNA from 1 species